AUGGGCCAGUCAGGGCAGGACUACUCAUCACUCAUAGUGUGGGUGUCAGGGUUGUGUCACCCCUCCCACUUCCCUCUGCAGAGACGCAAAGUCAAGAGUAGGAAGAAGCCAACCUCUGAGGUCAUGACCCCCAGGAGACCUGGAGGACUGAAUGCUGCUGUCCCCAAGGAGGAGGCUGCCGUCUUAUCCCAGGAGGGAGAGCAGGUGAAGUCCCCAGGGGAGGAAGCACCUAGCCCCAUUCCUGCUGAGCAGGAGGUGGCAGGUACCCCAGACUGGGAGGUAAGGACAGCCUGGGGCUUCAACUGGAACAUCUCCAGCAUGGGUCCGACUGAGCAGCCAUGGAGCACUGCAGAGUGGGAGGCAGCAGGGCAGAGAGGCAGUGCUGGACGCUGGCUCAACCCCAAGACCAGCAGGCCAAGCUGCCAUCCCAGGGGAGCGAGGACGUCUGUGCAGAGCUGAGAGGCAGCAGCCAUAUGUGAACAGACUGGGCCUCAUCCUGGCCCCACCGACUUUGUGUGGACAGAGCCUGUUUCCCUGUCUGUGCAACACAGAACCUGCCUGAUCUCACUGCUGGAUCCCUCUUCUUCCUGCCAGGAAAAUAAAAAGGUUCAAAAGGAAGUUGCUGCGUAUCCAUCUGGUAAGACCACGGACCCAGCGUGCUGCAGGGGGCUGCUUCCACCCUGCUUCUCAGUGACUGCCAGGGUCACAGACACCCCAGCCCUUUCCCACCUUCCUGACCUGGGGAGGGGAGGGAAGCAGCCCAGGAGUCAGGUGCCUUGACCUUCCUGGGAGCCUCCUUGGGUGGGCAGGAACUCUGGGCCACUCCCCUGAGCUGGCUGCAUCCCUACCUUUCACCACAGCUGACCUGGCCCCGGGGCAUCUCAGAGGGAGGGUUGGUUGCUCCCAGGAGGGGACUCACAAGGUUUCUACUUUGCAGAGGCCUCUGAGGACAGCAAAGAGCAAAGGCCCUGGGACCGGGUCUCCGUGCCCAUGACAGAGCUCUGGCUGGACUGGUUCUGAGCCUCUAACACCCCCAAGACUCAGAACCGUGAAGAAAAUCUUUCCAAUAAAUCCAAGAGUUGCUGCUGCUAUAGGCCAGGCUGCCACCUUUCGGGGCCUCCGUCUUCAGACAAACCCAGCCUGGCUUCAUCCACACUCCCUGUCCCCACAGCUGCAGGAACAGCACUUCCUGCCACGGAGCCGUGUGACCACAGUGGAUUGUCUCUGGAGGGGCCCAAGGGGGCCCUGGCCACCCUUCUGACUGACUCGGUGCCAGAGGACAGACCAACGUCCCUCUCGUGCUGACAGCCGGGCCGCACCCUGGCAUGAGGGCAUUUACAGAAAUGCUGGCGGAACUGCUGCCAGGGAGGCUGUAGGGUCCUCUGGCAAAAGAGGCCUCAGGUGGCUCCUCAGAGUGUCUGGUUCUCUGUCCCAGGCUGUUCCCUAAGAAGGUCUGCCCAGGACUCAGGUAAUCAUAUGCUCAUUAGAAACUCUUGGGCACUGCCUGUGUGCCCAGCCCAGCCCAUUAUGUCGGUGAGGACAGACGUGGAGGACAGCAGUCCCUGCCCUUGGUUGGGGCUCCAGGCCAGCAAGGGCCACAGCCCCAGAAGGCAGAGCAGGAAGACAGGACUCGGGGCAGGUGAAGCAGCCUUCUCGUUGGCAGAAGGGAAACAGAAGCCCAGGGUGGGGAAGGGUGGGGAAGGGUGGGCCCGGGGUCACACGGGGUAAUGGCAGAGCCAGGACUAGGGUCAGGGUCUCUGGCUCUCAGCUGCCCAUGCCACCUCCUCCUCCUCUGCCCGCCCCAGUGCCUCAUGGGCCCAAGGUUGACUCCCAUCCCUAGGGCAGGCCAGUGGCCCACAGGGCUCAUACAUGGCCCCUGGCCAAGCCUGUGGGCCCUGCCUGACCCCUACUGGGAGGAUGGUACCUAGGGUUGGAGCCAAACAAGUGUUCUCCUCCAGCGCCAGCCUGGCCCUGAGUGCAAACUCGUCACUGGUCAGGGGUCCGGACAGCAGCAUCCCUGAGGGCCCAGAGAGGUGGCCAGUCCUGUGGUGAGGUUGAGAGGGGUCAACGUGCUGGCGGUCCUCGCUCUCAGCGCCUCCUCGGCCUCAGCGUCUGCUCUGACCACACUUGAGGAGCCCUUCAGCCCAGCGCUGCACUGUGGGAGCCCCUCUCUGGGCUGGUGGAGGCUGGAGCCGGCUCCCUCUGCUUGUGGGGAGGUAUGUAGGGAGAGGCGUGGGCGGGAACCUGGGUUGCUCGCGGGCCAGCACCAGUUCUGGGUGGCCAGGGGCUCAGCGGGCCCUGCACUCACAGCGGCCGGCUGGUGCCUCCGGCCCCAGGCAGUGAGGGGCUUAGCACCUGGGCCAGCAGCUGCAGAGGGGGCGCCGGGUCCCCCAGUACUGCUGGCCGCCGGCACACACCACACUUGAAUUGUCGCCAGGCCUCAGUCGCCUCCCCGCGGGGCAGGGCUCAGGACCUGCAGCCUGCCAUGCCCAAGCCUCCCUACGGUGGGCUCCCUGCAAGGCCCGAGCCUCCCGGAUGGGUGCCUCCCACUGCUCCACGGCACCUGGUCCCGUCCACUGCCCAAGGGCUGAGGAGUACAGGUGCCCGGUGUGGGACUGGCAGGCAGCUCUGCCUGUGGCCCUGGCAUAGGAUCCACUAGGCGAAGCUGGCUGGGCUCCUGAGUCAGGUGGGGACUUGGAGAACUUUUAUGUCUAGCCAGAGGAUUGUAUAUGCACCAAUCAGCACUCUGUGUGUAGCUCCGGGUUCGUGGAUGCACCAGUUAGCACUCUGUAUCUAGCUAAUCUGGUGGGGACUUGGGGAACCUUUAUUUCUAGCUAAAAGAUUGUAAAUACACCAAUCAGCACUCUGUGUCUAGCUCAAGGUUUGUAAACACACCAAUCAGCACCCUGUGUCUAACUCAAGGUUUGUAAACGCACCAAUCAGUGCUCUCUGUCUACUCUAUCUAGCUAAUCUAGUGGGGACUUGGACAACCUUUAUGUCUAGCUAAGGGAUUGUAAAUACACCAUUCAGCACUCUGUGUCUAGCUCAAGGUUUGUAAAUAUACCAAUCAGCACUCUGUGUCUAGCUCAGGGAUUGUAAAUGCACCAAUCAGCACCCUGUCAAAAUGGACCAAUCAACUCUCUGUAAGUGGACCAAUCCACUGUCUGUAAAAUGGGCCAAUCAGCAGGAUGUGGGUGGAGGGUCAGAUAAGGGAAUAAAAGCAGGCUGCCUGAAGUAGCAGCGGCAACCUGGUUGCCAUCGUUCUUUUGCUGUUUGCAGUAAGUCUUGCUGCUGCUCCCUCACUGGGUCCACACUGCCUUUAUGAGUUGUAACACUGGAAGGACUGCAGUUUCACUCCUGAGGCCAGUGAGACCACAAACCCACCAGGAAGAAUGAACAACUCCGUACGUGCCGCCUUAAGAGCCGUAACACUCACUGUGAAGGUCUGCAGCUUCACUCCUGAAGCCAGCAAGACCAUGCACCCACCAGAAGGAAGAAACUCUGAACACGUCUUAACAUCAGAAGGAACAAACUCUGAACACACCAUCUUUAAGAACUGUAACACUCACUGCGAGGGUCCACGGCUUCAUUCUUGAAGUCAGUGAGACCAAGAACCCACCAAUUUUGGACACAAGGUGACAGGCUGAGGGCAGUGGCUCGGUCCUGGGUUUUCCUGGGGCCUUCCCAGGGAAUGUUCUGGCACCUGCCGACUGAGCCCUGGGAGGUAGCCCUGGCAUAUAGCUCCCUGAUGCCAUGAUUUGUCUUCCGUUUUGGGGUGUCAUAUAUGAAGGGAGGUGACUGUUGUGAUGGUGCUGGCAGGACUGCUGUCCCUGAUGUGGGGUGGGCUGAGUUAGGCCUGAAAUACGGGCCUCCAGGCUGAGUCCUGCCCUCUCCACCACAUCCAGGGCUGACUGACACCUCUAGUCAGCCCAUUCUGGCCCCUUCCCCACAUGCCAGGACAAUGUAGUCCUUGUCACCAAUCUGGGCAGUCAGAGUUGGGUCAGUGGGGGACAUGGGAUUAUGGGCAAGGGUAACUGACAUCUGCUCAGCCUCAACGUACCCCUGUCUCAAAUGCGGCCAGGCGGUGGGGUAAGCAGGAAUGAGGCAGGGGUGGGGUUGCCCUGAGGAGGAUGAUCCCAACGAGGGCGUGGGCAGGGGACCCGAGUUGGAACUACCACAUUGCUUUAUUGUACAUCAGGGCCCCUGGCUAGGGAGCAGGCUGGGGACUAGGUACCCCAUUCUAGCGGGGCACAGCACAAAGCUCAUAGGGGGAUGGGGGUCACCAGGAAAGCAAAGACACCAUGGUGGCUGGGCCGGGGCUGUCCAGUGGGCACCGAGAAGCUGAAGUGCUGCAGCAGGGAGGUGAAGAAGAGGAAGAGCUCCAUGCGGGCCAGGGGCUCCCCGAGGCAUGCGCGGCGGCCUGUGGAGAGGGGAGGGGCGUCAGUGAGCCUGGCUCCUGGGUGAUACCCGUGCAAGACUCCACGGAAGGGGACAGGGAGCCGGGCUCCCCACAGGCACCUGCUGAGAAAGGCAGGAAGGCCUCCGGCUUCACAAAGUGGCCCUGGGCAUCCAGGAAGUGUUCGGGGUGGAAGUGGAAGGGCUUCUCCCAGACGGCCUCAUCCUUCAGCACCGAUGACAGGUUGGUGAUGAGUGUCGUUCCCUGGGCAGGAGAUGCAGGGUGAGAGUGGGGACUGGGCUCUAGGAUGCUAGGACCCCUGCCACCAAACACAUGGGGGACACACACUGCCUGGCACACAGCUGGACUCUGUCAACUAGUCCUGCGCCCGAGAAGCUCCACAGUACCCUCUCCGACCCCACAGCAGGGCGCAGUCACACCUCUCAGAGGCACCCACACUGCCCCCUCUCCCUGCAGGCGUUGGGUCCUCCAACAUUCUGGCAGGUCCUGAUUU
ensembl:lincRNA